rnacentral:rRNA from 1 species
CAAAAAUAACGAUACGGCACUCAUCCGAGGCCCCGUAAUCGGAAUGAGUACACUCUAAACCCUUUAACGAGGAUCAAUUGGAGGGCAAGUCUGGUGCCAGCAGCCGCGGUAACACCAGCUCCAAUAGCGUAUAUUAAAGUUGUUGCGGUUAAAAAGCUCGUAGUCGAAUUUGUGUCCCGCGCCGCCGGUUCAUCGCUCGCGGUGUUAACUGGCGUGUCCGCGGGAACGUCCUGCCGGUGGGCUUAGCUCUCGGGCGGCCCAAUCUCAAUCCCACCGCGGUGCUCUUUACUGAGUGUCGAGGUGGGCCGGCACGUUUACUUUGAACAAAUUAGAGUGCUUAAAGCAGGCUAAAAUAUCGCCUGAAUACUGUGUGCAUGGAAUAAUGGAAUAGGACCUCGGUUCUAUUUUGUUGGUUUUCGGAACCCCGAGGUAAUGAUUAAUAGGAACGGAUGGGGGCAUUCGUAUUGCGACGUUAGAGGUGAAAUUCUUGGAUCGUCGCAAGACGGACAGAAGCGAAAGCAUUUGCCAAAAACGUUUUCAUUGAUCAAGAACGAAAGUUAGAGGUUCGAAGGCGAUCAGAUACCGCCCUAGUUCUAACCAUAAACGAUGCCAGCUAGCGAUCCGCCGACGUUCCUCCGAUGACUCGGCGGGCAGCUUCCGGGAAACCAAAGCUUUUGGGAUCCGGGGGAAGUAUGGUUGCAAAGCUGAAACUUAAAGGAAUUGACGGAAGGGCACCACCAGGAGUGGAGCCUGCGGCUUAAUUUGACUCAACACGGGAAACCUCACCAGGCCCGGACACCGGAAGGAUUGACAGAUUGAGAG